GGUCCGUCCCUUAUUUUAGAAUGCCAAUUGAUCACAUUCGCCUUGAUUUCAAGCUAUUGUUUCGGCAACCAAGCCGAAGUUCGGAAAAUGUCUAGUGCAAUAAAAUAUGAAUUAAAAAUUAACCUUACUAAGUUACAUUAACAUAUAGGGCAAGGAGUAAGAGCCUACUAAAAACUAUUCGGCGCUCAAUUCCUACAGUAAAAUAUUUACAUGAUUUCUAUAACAUAAAUCAGUUCAAAGUAUAAUAGUUCAUAAUAAAUUAAAUAUGUACAUAACCGGAAUUUUUGAGAAUUUAGAAAGCUUACAAGUGCAUUAAUUACGACUAGAAGUGCAUAUCGUCAACACAAUGUAUUAUAUUCCGUUAAUUCUUUUCGAUUUUAGUUUCGAAAAUCCCCGAAAAAGGAAUAUUUCUUUGUAAUUCUAAUUGUUUUUGCACCAAAGAUUCGUGGCCUUUAACUUGUUCCUGCAUGUGCUGAGGCUAUAUAUAUAAGGACCAACUUUAAUUUUUGCAAUUUAUAGUAUUAUUAUAACUUACAGUGUUGCAGUUAAAGUCAUGUAUUAUACCACUGUGAAAAACUGACUGUUAUAGCUAGCUAUAUGUAUUGUUAUUUUGAUUAAGGCAAGUAAACAAAGGCAGUUUUCAAAAGACUUUUACGACUUUCAUUUGUUGACUCCAGUAACUGCUACUGUGAGGCUUAUGACGAAUUUUAAUUUUUAAGAUUCCUACAUAGUAGCCUACAUGGCUUAAUAUAUUCAUAAUAAUUCUUGAUACUUUAUAGUAUUACAAUAUCACUGCCUAAAACUCGUUGCUAUAAGAGGGUGUCUGUAAAAGCCGGAACCCCACCCGGAACACCCGGAACCCACCCGGAACCCCACCCGGAACACGCUGGAAUACGAGCUAUGAAGCAACGCACGUGUUUCUC